AUGAACGCUGGCGGCGUGCCUAAUACAUGCAAGUCGAGCGAACAGAUAAGGAGCUUGCUCCUUUGACGUUAGCGGCGGACGGGUGAGUAACACGUGGGUAACCUACCUAUAAGACUGGAGUAACUCCGGGAAACCGGGGCUAAUGCCGGAUAACAUUUAGAACCGCAUGGUUCUAAAGUGAAAGAUGGUUUUGCUAUCACUUAUAGAUGGACCCGCGCCGUAUUAGCUAGUUGGUAAGGUAACGGCUUACCAAGGCAACGAUACGUAGCCGACCUGAGAGGGUGAUCGGCCACACUGGAACUGAGACACGGUCCAGACUCCUACGGGAGGCAGCAGUAGGGAAUCUUCCGCAAUGGGCGAAAGCCUGACGGAGCAACGCCGCGUGAGUGAUGAAGGUCUUCGGAUCGUAAAACUCUGUUAUUAGGGAAGAACAAAUGUGUAAGUAACUGUGCACGUCUUGACGGUACCUAAUCAGAAAGCCACGGCUAACUACGUG
rnacentral:rRNA from 1 species